AUUGAACGCUGGCGGCAUGCUUUACACAUGCAAGUCGAACGGCAGCGCGGGCUUCGGCCUGGCGGCGAGUGGCGAACGGGUGAGUAAUACAUCGGAACGUGCCCAGUCGUGGGGGAUAGCUCGGCGAAAGCCGGAUUAAUAACGCAUACGACCUGAGGGUGAAAGCGGGGGAUCUUCGGACCUCGCGCUAUUGGAGCGGCCGAUGGCAGAUUAGCUAGUUGGUGGGGUAAAGGCCUACCAAGGCGACGAUCUGUAGCUGGUCUGAGAGGACGAACAGCCACACUGGGACUGAGACACGGCCCAGACUCCUACGGGAGGCAGCAGUGGGGAAUUUUGGACAAUGGGCGAAAGCCUGAUCCAGCAAUGCCGCGUGUGUGAUGAAGGCCUGCGGGUUGUAAAGCACUUUUGGCGUGAACGAAAAGGACUGUGCCAAUACCACGUUUCGAUGACGGUACCCGCAGAAUAAGCACCGGCUAACUACGUG
rnacentral:rRNA from 1 species